UACGUAGGGGGCGAGCGUUGUCCGGAAUCAUUGGGCGUAAAGAGCGUGUAGGCGGGCCGGAAGGUCUGGUGUGAAAGCCCGGGGCUCAACCCCGGAGGGUCACUGGAAACCGCUGGUCUUGAGUCCGGAAGAGGAGAGUGGAAUUCCUGGUGUAGCGGUGGAAUGCGCAGAUAUCAGGAGGAACACCAAUGGCGAAGGCAGCUCUCUGGUACGUGACUGACGCUGAGACGCGAAAGCGUGGGGAGCGAACAGG
rnacentral:rRNA from 1 species